AGUGAAACUAACCAGGCCAUUUUCACUCUUCAAAGGGAGUAACACACACCGGUGGCGAGAAGUAAACAACCACCCCACGUACACUGGGUCACACAGGACGGUAGGCGAGGCAGCUUCCCGGGCCCCCCCCCAAACGACUGCCGGAAAGCUGGUACAACACACAAAAAAUGUUAACAAGUAACAAUGCCAGGAUCCACAAGAAAAACAAACUUGAGAGACAGGACCAUGGCAAGGAACUGAUACGAACAAGCCUGAGCCCCGUGAGCCUGAGUCAACUGACCUGGGUCAGCCGUGGCCGUGCUGCGAGUCUUUUAUUCUACUGUAGACGUACCCGACCCCGAGUGCAGAACAGAGACAGCUCUUGGACUGAAUGAGCAAUGAAGACUGAACUCCACUCCAGAGGAGGCCUCUCCAGAAACGGCACAUGGGCAGCGUAGCUUGCACCGUUGUUGCUCAUGCUGGACCUACAGGAUCAGAGGAGAAUUCAUUCUCUGCAGCCAAUACAGUCCAUGGUCUCUCUGUUGAGGCUGCCAACAGAGGGACCGCGCAGAGGCGGCAUAUCUGCCUUCUUGGAACUCGACUUGGACCCUACCAAAUUUUCACGGGAGCUGCCAAUGUUCCAUUAGAACUUUUAGUGACGAGUGACCUGGGCCGAGGAACCUGGCAGUGAAAUGCUGCAUGUUGCACAGCCUCCCUCCAUCACUCCCCCGAGCCAGCCACUCCCCGGAUGCUGCUCCUUUCCCCAUUUAAAAGCCACAAGCGUCCAGGACAAUGCCAAAGCGUUCCUAGCUAAGUGCCUUGCCUAUUGCAAAAGAGGCUCUCGGGCACUGUGGCUUCCAUUUCAUGUCUGCCUGUUUGGAUUCCUGCUUGCAGAAUGACUAACUUUAAGGACUAAAAAAAAAAAUAUAUAUAUAUAUAUAUGUUUUGAUUACACUGCCUUUUUGCCAACUGGGAGCAUUAGUCACAGGAUUUUUGUGUGUGGAGAUACCAGGCUUAAAGCUCAGCAGAGCUUCUUUCUUUCUCCCCCUCCUCCUCCUUUC